rnacentral:rRNA from 1 species
AUCGAACGCUGGCGGCAGGCCUAACACAUGCAAGUCGAACGAGUGGCGGACGGGUGAGUAAUGUCUGGGAAACUGCCUGAUGGAGGGGGAUAACUACUGGAAACGGUAGCUAAUACCGCAUACCAUCGGAUGUGCCCUGAGGGGAUUAGCUAGUGGGUGGGGUAACGGCUCACCUAGGCGACGAUCCCUACCUGGUCUGAGAGGAUGACCAGCCACACUGGAACGGAGACACGGUCCAGACUCCUACGGGAGGCAGCAGUGGGGAAUAUUGCACAAUGGGCGCAAGCCUGAUGCAGCCAUGCCGCGUGUAUGAAGAAGGCCUUCGGUUUGUAAAGUACUUUCAGCGGGGAGGCGUUACUCGAAGAAGAAGCACCGGCUAACUCCGUGCCAGCAGCCGCGGUAAUAC